UUGCCAAGUGCCAAAUUACCAGGGAUGGGUAAAAGUGUUUUUUUCGGAGUUUUCUACGUAUAAUACAUAAAUGACGUAUAAUACGUAGAAAAUUGUAGAAAACCUGGUAUUAUACAUGUCCAGUUCUGCGCAUGCGUACAAACCUCACAAUAAUAAUAAAAAUCAUAUGUUUGAUUAUUUUUUAUUUGUUUCCUGGUUUUCAUUACUAAAUUGUUGCUAAAAAUACCAAGAAAAAACCAAAAAAGGUUACAUAUAAGCAAUAUUGUACAACAAUCACUGACACAUGGCCUGGCACAUGGAGAUGUAUAACCUAUAAAUGGGUCUGGCGGCAGCAGACAACCUGACCUGACCACGAACAGUUAGAACUUUGUUU